GUGCUUGCUUCGGCAGUACGUAUACUAAAAUUGGAAUGAUACAGAGAUUAGCAAGGCCCCUGCACAAGGAUGACAGGCAAAAGCGGGAAGUAACUGACUUUCAA